rnacentral:rRNA from 1 species
GGUGGCCGCAGAGAAUAGGCCCAAGCGACUGUUUACCAAAAACAUAGGUUUCUGCUAAGUCGCAAGACGAUGUAUAGGAGCUGACGCCUGCCCGGUGCUGGAAGGUUAAGGGGAUCUGUUAGAGCAAUCGAAGCAGUGAACUUAAGCCCCAGUAAACGGCGGCCGUAACUAUAACGGUCCUAAGGUAGCGAAAUUCCUUGUCGGGUAAGUUCCGACCCGCACGAAAGGCGUAACGAUUUGGGCACUGUCUCAACAACAGACUCGGUGAAAUUGUAAUUCCGGUGAAGAUGCCGGAUACCUGCGACAGGACGGAAAGACCCCAUGGAGCUUUACUGUAGCUUGACAUUGGGUCUUGGUACUACAUGUACAGGAUAGGUGGGAGGCUUUGAAACCAGGACGCCAGUUUUGGCGGAGCCAUCCUUGGGAUACCACCCUUGUAGUACUGGGACUCUAACCAUAGGCCAUGAAUCUGGUCUUGGGACACUGUCAGGUGGGCAGUUUGACUGGGGCGGUCGCCUCCCAAAAGGUAACGGAGGCGCUCAAAGGUUCUCUCAGUACGGUCGGAAAUCGUACGUAGAGUGUAAAGGCAAAAGAGAGCUUGAUUGCAAGACAUACAGGUCGAGCAAGGAUGAAAAUCGGACUUAGUGAUCCGGUGGUUCUGCGUGGAAGGGCCAUCGCUCAACGGAUAAAAGCUACCCUGGGGAUAACAGGCUUAUCUCCCCCAAGAGUCCACAUCGACGGGGAGGUUUGGCACCUCGAUGUCGGCUCAUCACAUCCUGGGGCUGUAGUAGGUCCCAAGGGUUGGGCUGUUCGCCCAUUAAAGUGGUACGCGAGCUGGGUUCAGAACGUCGUGAGACAGUUCGGUCCCUAUCCGUCGCAGGCGUAGGAAAUUUGAGAAGACCUGUCCUUAGUACGAGAGGACCGGGAUGGACGUACCUCUGGUGUACCAGUUGUCCUGCCAAGGGCAUGGCUGGGUAGCUAUGUACGGAAUGGAUAAGCGCUGAAAGCAUCUAAGCGCGAAGCCAACUUCAAGAUAAGAUUUCCCACCGCAAGGGUAAGACCCCAGAAAGACUAUCUGGUUGAUAGGUCGAAGGUGUAAGUGCAGCAAUGUAUUUAGCUUAUCGAUACUAAUAGGUCGAGGACUUGACCAAU